UUGAAACGGUCUGGAAAUUUGCCCACGCAAAUAUGACAGGUCACAAAAAGGUCCAAAAAAGCUCUGUCCACUGAAUGUCCACUCUUGUAUGCGAGUGUUUGAUGUUUGUUGACCGAAUGGAACAGUUCGUGUUCGUGAGGUAAAUAUGUUAGCACUGAAUGCUAAGAAGACGCUCAUUUCUGACGCUAAUUUUUCCACAUUGGGAAGUGGGUAUGACACCGGGAGACACAGUUAAUGAGAAAUAAACCAUGACCUCAUCGUUCUAUCAUCUUCAGUAAUCCUGAUCAGGGUCGCAGAGGGUCCACAUCGAACCCCAGAUACAGUAAGAUUAAGGUCUGAGGAAACCGGAGUAUCUGGAGGAAAACCACAUGGCUGUGAAACAGAGACUAAAGACGGUGCUCGAAGGCGAGGUUUGAACCCUGGUCCGCUGGACCCUGGUGCAGUGCAGCAUCUACACUACACGUUUGCCCGGACGGUGACCCGAGCCGAACCGAGUCGCUGCUGCGUCGCUGAUAAACAAACGCGGCUGAUUUGUGUUUAACGGCCUGAAGUUGUUUGCUGAUGAAACAGGAGUUUGUUUUUGUGUGUGAGGCGCCGCAGACAUAAACAAAACAGACACGAUAGGGGUGAGUUCAUUAGUGUUGGGUCAUCUGUUAAUCAACAUGCAUGGACGGGGACAAAAUGUAUUUAUUUAUUUAUUUCCCACCUGGGAAUCGAACCCAGGACCUUCUUGCUGUGAGGCGAGCCACCGUACCACCCAAUGGCAGUAACCAAUGAACAAGGCGGUGCAGGACUUUGACAGCUCAGUCAGUCGACAGUGCUGAGGUGGAGAGCUGCUGCAUGCCUGACAUUUCUGAGCUGAGGGAUCUGAGACCUGUGUGGACCUGCCUGUCCGGAUCCUCUCUACCUGCCGGACAGGUAACGCCUGGCACCGGCCGAGCGGCAAGAGCGGGACCGGAAUUCUGGGAGACGAGUCAGAGGGUGACGCAAUACAUCACUCACACGAUAUAUCAACAAUAUAUCAACAAUAUAACAACAAUUACUGUUUAUGUAAAACUGUUUAUGUAAAACAUGUAAAACAGGACCACAUUACUAAUCCCCAACAGUAAUCCUUGCCACCACUGUACCCCAUAAAACCAAAUUAUCAAUCCCCAACAACACUGUAAUCUAAUGAACCAAUUUACUAAUCUCCGAAAAACUGUAACCUAUAAAACCAAAUUAUUAAUCCCUAAUCCCACUGUAACCAAUCAGACCCAACAAAUUAAAUUAUAGA